rnacentral:tRNA from 1 species
CCCCCCUCCGGCCCGCGGCCACCUCCCCUGGCGGGGGAGGAAAGCAUCGGCCUGCGACCCGGGGUUCGUGGCUCGAAGGGGGGGCC